GAUUUCUGGUAUGGCGCGCUUGGCCCGCCGAGGUUACUCGGUUGUGUGCCGGUGUGCGCCUGCCAUCCUUCUGGGGAACGGCUCUACCCUUCACUGGGUGGGAGUCGGUAUCCAGAUCUUUUACUUUGAAAAAAUUAGAGUGUUUAAAGCAGGCUUACGCUAUGAAUACAUUAGCAUGGAAUAAUAAUUUAGGACUUUGGUCUUAUUUUGUUGGUUUCUAGGACUAAAGUAAUGAUUGAUAGGGAUAGUUGGGGGUGCUAGUAUUCAGCGGCCAGAGGUGAAAUUCUUGGAUUCGCUGAAGACUAACUUAUGCGAAAGCAUU
rnacentral:rRNA from 1 species